ACGGCAGCACGGGAGCAAUCCUGGUGGCGAGUGGCGAACGGGUGAGUAAAGUAUCGGAACGUGCCCAGUCGUGGGGGAUAACGCAGCGAAAGUUGUGCUAAUACCGCAUACGAUCUAUGGAUGAAAGCGGGGGAUCGCAAGACCUCGCGCGAUUGGAGCGGCCGAUAUCAGAUUAGGUAGUUGGUGGGGUAAAGGCUCACCAAGCCGACGAUCUGUAGCUGGUCUGAGAGGACGACCAGCCACACUGGAACUGAGACACGGUCCAGACUCCUACGGGAGGCAGCAGUGGGGAAUUUUGGACAAUGGGCGCAAGCCUGAUCCAGCAAUGCCGCGUGCAGGAUGAAGGCCUUCGGGUUGUAAACUGCUUUUGUACGGAACGAAAAGGCUCUGGUUAAUACCUGGGGCACAUGACGGUACCGUAAGAAUAAGCACCGGCUAACUACGUGCCAGCAGCCGCGGUAAUACGUAGGGUGCGAGCGUUAAUCGGAAUUACUGGGCGUAAAGCGUGCGCAGGCGGUAAUGCAAGACAGAUGUGAAAUCCCCGGGCUUAACCUGGGAACUGCAUUUGUGACUGCAUUGCUGGAGUGCGGCAGAGGGGGAUGGAAUUCCGCGUGUAGCAGUGAAAUGCGUAGAUAUGCGGAGGAACACCGAUGGCGAAGGCAAUCCCCUGGGCCUGCACUGACGCUCAUGCACGAAAGCGUGGGGAGCAAACAGGAUUAGAUAC
rnacentral:rRNA from 1 species